CUUAAUGACUUCGCCAGUGCUUUUCUCGUCUACUUUGGCUCCUUUUAUGCGUUCAAUCUUGAAUAUCAAGAGUCAGCAUCUACUACACUGGAGUUGGUACAGAGGAUCAACCCAGAUGAGGGCACCAAGUGCAUGGCCAAAGUGGGUACAAGCUGCAAGACGGGAGGAGUUGUCCAAUGAAAGGUGACAAGCAUCAGCUCCCAAGUCACCACCUUCCUCCAACGGCUCACCAAGUUUGAGUGGAAGACAUCAAACUAGUCCAGGACGGACCACCCCAGCAGAUGUGGAUCAGCAAGCAGGAGUACCAUGGGUCCGGCCUCUUCAUCGUACUUCACAAAUGCUUCUAAACAGACUGUUCCUCCUUCCCCUCCCCAACCAAAUGCCCAACAACUUCAUCUAUGUGGUAAACAACCACACCACAUUUUUCAUACAUACUCAGAAUAAAAAAAAAUUAAAAAAAAACAACUGCCAAGAUAAAGGAUGAACUGAUGUUUUGGCUAGGUUAUUCAGUGUUCUGCAGUUCCAUCUGGGGAUUUAAAA